AUUGAACGCUGGCGGCAUGCUCUACACAUGCAAGUCGAACGGCAGCGCGGGCUUCGGCCUGGCGGCGAGUGGCGAACGGGUGAGUAAUGCAUCGGAACGUGCCCAGUGGUGGGGGAUAGCCCGGCGAAAGCCGGAUUAAUACCGCAUACGACCUGAGGGUGAAAGCGGGGGACCGAAAGGCCUCGCGCUAUUGGAGCGGCCGAUGUCGGAUUAGCUAGUUGGUGGGGUAAAGGCUUACCAAGGCGACGAUCCGUAGCUGGUCUGAGAGGACGACCAGCCACACUGGGACUGAGACACGGCCCAGACUCCUACGGGAGGCAGCAGUGGGGAAUUUUGGACAAUGGGGGCAACCCUGAUCCAGCCAUGCCGCGUGCGAGAAGAAGGCCUUCGGGUUGUAAACCGCUUUUGUUCGGGAAGAAAUCCUCUGGGCUAAUACCCCGGGGGGAUGACGGUACCGGAAGAAUAAGCACCGGCUAACUACGUG
rnacentral:rRNA from 1 species